rnacentral:rRNA from 1 species
AUUGAACGCUGGCGGCAGGCCUAACACAUGCAAGUCGAGCGAGCGGCGCACGGGUGAGUAAUGUAUGGGGCUUCGCCCGAUAGAUGGGGGUAACUCCUGGAAACGGUGGCUAAUACCGCAUACUAUGGGAUGAACCCAUAUGGGAUUAGCUAGUAGGUAGGGUAAAGGCUCACCUAGGCGCCGAGCUCUAACUAGUCUGCGAGGAGGACCCGCCACACUGGGACUGAGACACGGCCCAGACUCCUACGGGAGGCAGCAGUGGGGAAUAUUGCACAAGGGGCGCAAGCCUGAUGCAGCCAUGCCGCGUGUAUGAAGAAGGCCUUCGGGUUGUAAAGUACUUUCAGCGGGGAGGCGUUACCCGCAGAAGAAGCACCGGCUAACUCCGUGCCAGCAGCCGCGGUAAUUC